GGGGAACUAGCUCAGUUGGCUAGAGCGCUUGCAUGGCAUGCAAGAGGUCAGGGGUUCGACUCCCCUGUUCUCCACUA
rnacentral:tRNA from 1 species